UUUGAUCCUGGCUCAGGACGAACGCUGGUCGGCGAUGCCUGAUACAUGCAAGUCGAGCGAACAGAGAAGGAGCUUGCUCCUUUGACGUUAGCGGCGGACGGGUGAGUAACACGUGGGCAACCUACCUUAUAGUUUGGGAUAACUCUGGGAAACCGGGGCUAAUACCGAAUAAUCUAUUUUACUUCAUGGUGAAAUACUGAAAGACGGUUUCGGCUGUCGCUAUAAGAUGGGCCCGCGGCGCAUUAGCUAGUUGGUGAGGUAACGGCUCACCAAGGCGACGAUAGCGUAGCCGACCUGAGAGGGUGAUCGGCCACACUGGGACUAGAGACACGGCCCAGACUCCUACGGGAGGCAGCAGUAGGGAAUCUUCCACAAUUGGGGCGAAAGCCUGAUGGAGCAACGCCGCGUGAGUGAAGAAGGUUUUCGGAUCGUAACUCUGUUGUAGGG
rnacentral:rRNA from 1 species